rnacentral:rRNA from 1 species
AGGAAGGGAGUAAAGUUMMYACCUUUGCUCAUUGACGUUACCCGCAGAAGAAGCACCGGCUAACUCCGUGCCAGCAGCCGCGGUAAUACGGAGGGUGCAAGCGUUAAUCGGAAUUACUGGGCGUAAAGCGCACGCAGGCGGUUUGUUMAGUCAGAUGUGAAAUCCCCGGGCUCAACCUGGGAACUGCAUCUGAUACUCGCAAGCUUGAGDCUCGUAGAGGGGGGUAGAAAUUCCAGGUGUAGCGGUGAAAUGCGUAGAGAUCUGGAGGAAUACCGGUSGCGAAGGCGGCCCCCUGGACGAASACUGACGCUCAGGUGCGAAAGCGUGGGGAGCAAACAGGAUUAMMHAACCCUGGUAGUCCACGCCGUAAACGAUGUCGACUUGGAGGUUGUGCCCUUGAGGCGUGGCUUCCGGASUAACGCGUUAAGUCGACCGCCUGGGGAGUACGGCCGCAAGGUUAAAACUCAAAUGAAUUGACGGGGGCCCGCACAAGCGGHGAGCAUGUGGUUUAAUUCGAUGCAACGCGAAGAACCUUACCUGGUCUUGACAUCCACAGAACUUUCCAGAGAUGGAUUGGUGCUUCGGGAACUGUG